AGUGAACGCUGGCGGUAGGCCUAACACAUGCAAGUCGAACGGCAGCACAGGAGAGCUUGCUCUCUGGGUGGCGAGUGGCGGACGGGUGAGGAAUACAUCGGGAUCUACUCUGUCGUGGGGGAUAACGUAGGGAAACUUACGCUAAUACCGCAUACGACCUACGGGUGAAAGCAGGGGACCUUCGGGCCUUGCGCGAUUGAAUGAGCCGAUGUCGGAUUAGCUAGUUGGCGGGGUAAAGGCCCACCAAGGCGACGAUCCGUAGCUGGUCUGAGAGGAUGAUAAGCCACACUGGAGCUGAGACACGGUCCAGACUCCUACGGGAGGCAGCAGUGGGGAAUAUUGGACAAUUGGCGCAAGCCUGAUCCAGCCAUACCGCGUGGGUGAAGAAGGCCUUCGGGUUGUAAAGCCCUUUUGUUGGGAAAGAAAUCCAGCUGGCUAAUACCCGGUUGGGACGACGGUACCCAAAGAAUAAGCACCGGCUAACUUCGUGCCAGCAGCCGCCGUAA
rnacentral:rRNA from 1 species